AUUGCUAUAAUGAUCUGUAACAAUAAGGAUACCAAUUGAUCAAUUGGUUUCCAUGACAUGCUUUUUUACACUUGGCAUCUGUGCUCA
rfam:Triticum urartu cultivar G1812 contig844958, whole genome shotgun sequence.